GGGAAUAUUGCACAAUGGGCGCAAGCCUGAUGCAGCCAUGCCGCGUGUAUGAAGAAGGCCUUCGGGUUGUAAAGUACUUUCAGCGGGGAGGAAGGCGUUGUGGUUAAUAACCACAGUGAUUGACGUUACCCGCAGAAGAAGCACCGGCUAACUCCGUGCCAGCAGCCGCGGUAAUACGGAGGGUGCAAGCGUUAAUCGGAAUUACUGGGCGUA
rnacentral:rRNA from 1 species